rnacentral:tRNA from 1 species
GCGACACUAGCUCAUCCGGAUAGAGCAGCGGCCUUCUAAGCCGCAGGUGGGCCGUUCGAGUCGGCCGUGUCGCG